UACGUAGGGGGCAAGCGUUGUCCGGAAUCAUUGGGCGUAAAGCGCGUGUAGGCGGUCCGGUAAGUCCGCUGUGAAAGUCGGGGGCUCAACCCUCGGAUGCCGGUGGAUACUGUCGGGCUCGAGUACGGAAGAGGCGAGUGGAAUUCCUGGUGUAGCGGUGAAAUGCGCAGAUAUCAGGAGGAACACCAAUUGCGAAGGCAGCUCGCUGGGACGUCACUGACGCUGAGACGCGAAAGCGUGGGGAGCAAACAGG
rnacentral:rRNA from 1 species